GACGAACGCUGGCGGCGUGCUUAACACAUGCAAGUCGAACGGAAAGGCCCUGCUUUUGUGGGGUGCUCGAGUGGCGAACGGGUGAGUAACACGUGAGUAACCUGCCCUUGACUUUGGGAUAACUUCAGGAAACUGGGGCUAAUACCGGAUAGGAGCUCCUGCUGCAUGGUGGGGGUUGGAAAGUUUCGGCGGUUGGGGAUGGACUCGCGGCUUAUCAGCUUGUUGGUGGGGUAGUGGCUUACCAAGGCUUUGACGGGUAGCCGGCCUGAGAGGGUGACCGGCCACAUUGGGACUGGGAUACGGCCCAGGCUCCUACGGGAGGCAGCAGUGGGGAAUAUUGCACAAUGGGCGGAAGCCUGAUGCAGCAACGCCGCGUGCGGGAUGACGGCCUUCGGGUUGUAAACCGCUUUCGCCUGUGACGAAGCGUGAGUGACGGUAAUGGGUAAAGAAGCACCGGCUAACUACGU
rnacentral:rRNA from 1 species